CUCGUAACCUUUGACGAUGGGAUUAACGGGAAAUCAUUAUUCUUAAGGUAAGCUGGUAGCUCCAACGUCUUACGUAGAGCAGUCGUUUCGUUCGCGAGGUAGAAAACGAACGGGAAGAAGAAAUCGGAAAAGGCGAAUAGCAGUGUUCCUAAUUUAUCAAACGAAAACAACUGACUGAUCGCGUGACAAUUAAACACUUCUCGUAAUAAAAAGGGUCUACAUGCUUCCGCUUGGGAAUUCACCGUUUUCGUUCUUAGGAAACGUAACAGUGACAGGUACUGCAUUUUUUACCCGAUACAAAUGAUUGAGCAAUUCCGAUGCGUGAUCGAAUCCAGUGGGAAAUUCGUAAUGCAGACUAGAACAGAACAGAGUGAAGCAUUGUGCGAACCUGGCGCGCCAUGUCGAAGAUCUCAAGGUACAGAUAGAAAAUGAGUUGGCGCAAAUUGUUGCCGAUCAAAGAUGCCGGCCGUUCUACGACGCUCUCGCCAUAAAGACGCCUGUGUAUGUACACAAACAUGUUUCCCGAUUGAGUAUCCAUGUAGUGUGUAAUAUCCGUAGAAUUAAUCUGGCGUAUAACGGGUGCGCAGAUUUCACCGAAUCAAAAUGGGAUGGAUGGUACCAAGGUAACAAAUAUUCGCAAAUGCUCCUGAGGGAUGCUGAUAACGAAUAAUUUUUUUUUGGAAAUUUUGGAAUUAUAAAAUUUUUAAUACCUUUCAAGAAACGAUCUUUCAAUUUCAGUCGAUGCUUGUAAAUCCACCUUUAUAUUCUCAUAUAUAUAUAUAUUCUCGGUAUAUAUAUACCGCCCUGCCUCAAGAUUUUUCACAGUUUACAGACAAUGCAGAUACGAACGCGCAUCGUGCUAAUAAGCGUGGAAAAAAUUGAAUCAAGCGCGAAGGUUAUCACCUCCACCGAUAUUAGAUAUCGAUGCACGUCCCCGAUAUUUAAUUUUUAUUUUUCUUCCUGGAACAAGGUAAAAUCGUGACGGGUAUAACAGCUAAUGCAAAAAUCAUCCCAUGCGCUCAGCAACCAGCACAGAAAAUUAUUUGACUGGAGCGUCACGCUCUGGUCUACUCCGGACUCGUCUUGUUCUGCGUCCCAUGUUAAUCUUCAAUCUUCCUCACUCCCAUACACAACAGGUCGAUCCUUCGACUAAUCCUUCCGAUCCACCGUUUCUUUCCGCUCAUCCUUCAUUCCCUUUUGUUUCGCUUGAUCCACAGUCGCGGCUCGCCGAUUAUUCCCUGGAACGAACCUACGUUCCUUAAUGCGUUCCAUGAUAACUUCCUGGUAUAUAUGAGUUCUCAAUUCGCACUGCAAACAGCCGGAUAGCAGCCAGUUUUACUUUUGAAUCUGAAGUCGUUGCUCCGAUUGAUAAAGUAUAUAAAAGAAAAGUAGAAGAAGAAGACAAAUGGAGGACUCCUGCGGAACGAAACUCUACCGAAUGCUGCAGGUUGGUACUGGACGUGGAAGCAAGGCAGACCAAGCACCACCACCAUCAUCGAGGCUGUUCGUGCCCAUGCCACGGCGGUGCCCUGCAGGACGUGCCCCAGAUCCGGGUCUAGGUCGCCGAUCAUCUUACCUAAGAAAAAUUGCGCACGCCUCGCAGAACCUAAAGGAUAAAUACCGGGUGCGCCGAUCCGAAAGUAUCUCCACCGAAGUAAAAUAUGCAUCGGACCAGCGUUAUGUAGGGUUAUGUUAUUUUUUUUCAUAGUUCUCUAUAGCAGUACUUUUAUUGAUCUUUUUUUUUCUUGCUGAUUAGAAAAGUUCUAAACGAGCCAUUAAGAAUUUUAUUGUUCUUGAAAUCAUGUUUAACCUACUUUUUCUUUACUUCUUCCUUUCAAGGAAGCGAUUGUGUCAAUACACUUGCUCGUAUCGUUUCCUUUCUUUUUUACCUAUAUUUCCUAAGCUGUGUCCAAUCACUGUACAAACUUCACGAAUGAGCGUUACUGUCGUUGGAGCUGUGAGUGAGUCUUUUCAUUUUUGAUAGUCCUACGUUCACUCCGUGUAGGAGAAUGGGUGCUGAUUUAACAUGGUAACUUGAUAUUGCCAAUGUUAAAGCAGGCGCCAACU